GACCCGUGAUCCGGGUUGCGGACAGUGUCUGGUGGGUAGUUUGACUGGGGCGGUCUCCUCCUAAAGAGUAACGGAGGAGCACGAAGGUUGGCUAAUCCUGGUCGGACAUCAGGAGGUUAGUGCAAUGGCAUAAGCCAGCUUGACUGCGAGCGUGACGGCGCGAGCAGGUGCGAAAGCAGGUCAUAGUGAUCCGGUGGUUCUGAAUGGAAGGGCCAUCGCUCAACGGAUAAAAGGUACUCCGGGGAUAACAGGCUGAUACCGCCCAAGAGUUCAUAUCGACGGCGGUGUUUGGCACCUCGAUGUCGGCUCAUCACAUCCUGGGGCUGAAGUAGGUCCCAAGGGUAUGGCUGUUCGCCAUUUAAAGUGGUACGCGAGCUGGGUUUAGAACGUCGUGAGACAGUUCGGUCCCUAUCUGCCGUGGGCGCUGGAGAACUGAGGGGGGCUGCUCCUAGUACGAGAGGACCGGAGUGGACGCAUCACUGGUGUUCGGGUUGUCAUGCCAAUGGCACUGCCCGGUAGCUAAAUGCGGAAGAGAUAAGUGCUGAAAGCAUCUAAGCACGAAACUUGCCCCGAGAUGAGUUCUCCCUGAC
rnacentral:rRNA from 1 species